rnacentral:rRNA from 1 species
GUGUCAGCCGCCGCGGUAAUACGUAGGGGGCAAGCGUUAUCCGGAUUUAUUGGGCGUAAAGCGCGCGUAGGCGGCUUGUUAAGCGAGAUGUGAAAACCGGGGGCUUAACCCGCGGCCUGCAUCUCGAACUGGCAGGCUUGAGUCUGGUAGAGGAAAGUGGAAUUCCCAGUGUAGCGGUGAAAUGCGCAGAUAUUGGGAGGAACACCAGUGGCGAAGGCGGCUUUCUGGGCCACGACUGACGCUGAGGCGCGAAAGCUAGGGGAGCGAACAGGAUUAGAUACCCCUGUAGUCC